GUCCCUGAAAUGAGGUUGUAUAACCUUUAG
rnacentral:piRNA from 1 species